AGUGAACGCUGGCGGUAGGCCUAACACAUGCAAGUCGAACGGCAGCACAGGAGAGCUUGCUCUCUGGGUGGCGAGUGGCAGACGGGUGAGGAAUACAUCGGAAUCUACCUUUUCGUGGGGGAUAACGUAGGGAAACUUACGCUAAUACCGCAUACGACCUACGGGUGAAAGUGGGGGACCGCAAGGCCUCACGCGAUUAGAUGAGCCGAUGUCCGAUUAGUUAGUUGGCGGGGUAAUGGCACACCAAGGCGACGAUCGGUAGCUGGUCUGAGAGGAUGAUCAGCCACACAGGAACUGAGACACGGUCCAGACUCCUACGGGAGGCAGCAGUGGGGAAUAUUUGACAAUGGGCGCAAGCCUGAUCCAGCCAUACCGCGUGGGUGAAGAAGGCCUUCGGGUUGUAAAGCCCUAUUGUUGGGAAAGAAAUCCUGUAGAUUAAUACUCGGUGGGGAUGACGGUACCCAAAGAAUAAGCACCGGCUAACUUCGUGCCAGCAGCAGCCGCAGUAA
rnacentral:rRNA from 1 species